CGACCUCAGAGUAGGUGA
rnacentral:rRNA from 2 species